rnacentral:rRNA from 1 species
UACGUAGGGGGCGAGCGUUGUCCGGAAUCAUUGGGCGUAAAGCGCGUGUAGGCGGUUCGAUAAGUCUGCUGUGAAAGUCCAGGGCUCAACCCUGGGAUGCCGGUGGAUACUGUCGGGCUAGAGUACGGAAGAGGCGAGUGGAAUUCCCGGUGUAGCGGUGAAAUGCGCAGAUAUCGGGAGGAACACCAAUUGCGAAGGCAGCUCGCUGGGACGUCACUGACGCUGAGACGCGAAAGCGUGGGGAGCAAACA